GUUUAUAUGGCUUAAAUUUACAGCGUGGCACUCACGAAGCAAAAAAAGAUUUAAAGACAU
rnacentral:tRNA from 1 species